rnacentral:rRNA from 1 species
ACGCUCGACACCUACGGAAGGCAGCAGUGGGGAAUAUUGCACAAUGGGGGAAACCCUGAUGCAGCGACGCCGCGUGAGCGAAGAAGUAUCUCGGUAUGUAAAGCCCUAUCAGCAGGGAAGAAGAUGACGGUACCUGACUAAGAAGCACCGGCUAAAUACGUGCCGGCAGCCGCGGUAAUCUGAGCGGGCUGGCAAGGC